rnacentral:rRNA from 1 species
CCCUUAGAUGUCCUGGGCCACACGCGCGCUACACUGACAUGUUCAACAAGCCUCCUAGUUCGACAGGAUUUGGGAAAUCUUUGAACGCAUGUCGUGAUAGGGAUAGAUCAUUGCAAUUAUUGAUCUUGAACGAGGAAUUCCUAGUAAACGCGAGUCAUCAGCUCGCAUUGAUUACGUCCCUGCCCUUUGUACACACCGCCCGUCGCACCUACCGAUUGAAUGUUUCGGUGAAGAUUCCGGAUAGGACUUUUUUGAUUUAUUUCAAUUUUGUCUUAAAAGCUAUCUAAACCUCAACAUUUAGAGGAAGGUGAAGUCGUAACA